AAAAAAAAGCACAAAAAUUUAAUUAUUAUGAACUCGAGGGAGUAAUACUUUGCAAGUUUGUUCUACAUGACCAGAUACUACGUUUAUUUUCUGCACUAAAUCAUAUCUGUAGAAAGUAGAACAAGAUUUGCCUAACAUACAACAAAGAAACAGGAGUAUCUUAUUUUUCUGAAACUGGAGAUAUGAGAUGUAUGGCAGCAUCUUUUGGAAGUCACUUAGUUGUCUGCUCAUUUCUUGACAAACCCGACGCCCUUCUGGAUACUUGUUGCUAGCUCUUUCUUUGCCUUCUCAAGCCCAGUCCUCUCGUAUUCAUUUAGGGGACCAAGGGGGAAUAUCUCUUCAACUCCGCUACGCCCAAGCCGUACUUUUGAUGCAAAAAAUGGAAGUUCAGUCACCUGGGAAGACACAAAGGCACAUUGAAUAAUAGCAGCAUCUCCUCUCAAUCCAUGCAAACAUGCAUCAGCAAAUUUAACCGCAGCAUAUGCCAUAGAGAGAGUUGCCGAACCAGCACCAGCUUUUGCCUCAACAACCUCAGUUCCACCAUUUUGUAUACGAGAUGUUAAAUGUUCAGUUUCCGCUGGGGUAAAAGAACAAGGAGGCUUAAUCUGGGAAAGAAGAGGUAGAAUUGUAACACCAGCAUGGCCCCCGACAACUGGAACAUCCACUUCCCUAGGAUCAAGCCCCAAAACUUCAGCCACAAAAGUAUUGGCUCUGACGACAUCAAGCAUUGUGACACCUAAGAGUCUCCUAGGAUCAAAGGUGCCAGCCAUCUUGAAAACCUCUGCAGCAAUUGGUACUGUAGAGUUUACAGGAUUACUAAUUAUAUUGACAAUGGCCUUAGGACAGCACUUUGCAAUUCCUUCACAUAAAGUCUUCACGAUUCCUGCAUUUAUGUUGAAAAGAUCAUCUCUUGUCAUGCCUGGUUUUCUAGGAACACCAGCAGGGAUUAUUACGAGGUCCAUGCCAGUGAGAGCAUCUUCUAAUUGUUGAGGUCCUAGAAAACCACGAACCACAGCACCAGUAUCCAUGUGGCUAAUAUCAGCAGUUACACCAGGGGUAUUUGCAACAUCAUAAAGAUGCAGAACCGAAACCAAAGGAUUCAUCUUCAUAAGCAUUGCAAGUGGCUGACCAAUACCUCCUGCAGCACCCAAGAUCGCAACUUUGAACCCCGGAGAACCCCCUUUCGCCCUGCAAUUAGCUGCACUCAAUCCCUCCAUCUGGUGAGAAGAAGGAGAAGGGUUAAGAUGGGCUGAGAUGGUGGCGAUUCGUUCAGCACUUCGCUGCAUAUUGGAUUUCGUUUGAGAAUGAAA
rnacentral:misc_RNA from 1 species